UACGGAGGGUGCGAGCGUUGUCCGGAAUCACUGGGCGUAAAGCGUCUGUAGGUGGUUUAAUAAGUCAACUGUUAAAUCUUGAGGCUCAACCUCAAAAUCGCAGUCGAAACUAUUAGGCUAGAGUAUAGUAGGGGUAAAGGGAAUUUCCAGUGGAGCGGUGAAAUGCGUAGAGAUUGGAAAGAACACCGAUGGCGAAGGCACUUUACUGGGCUAUUACUAACACUCAGAGACGAAAGCUAGGGUAGCAAAUGGG
rnacentral:rRNA from 1 species